AUGAACGCUGGCGGCUGCCUAAUACAUGCAAGUCGAACGGAGUGGCGAAAGGGUGAGUAACGCGUGAGCAACCUGCCUAUGACAGUGGGAUAGCCUCGGGAAACCGGGAUUAAUACCGCAUAGUCAUAGAUGGGCUCGCGUUUGAUUAGCUAGUUGGUGAGAUAACAGCCCACCAAGGCCACGAGCAGUAGCCGGUCUGAGGUGAUGAACGGCCACAUUGGAACUGCGACACGGGCCAAACUCCGACGUGAGGCAGCAGUGGGGAAUAUUGCACAAUGGGGGAAACCCUGAUGCAGCGACGCCGCGUGAACGAAGACGGUAUUCGUAUCGUAAAGUUCUGUCCUAUGGUAAGCAGUACCAUAUAAGAAAGCUCCGGCUAAAUACGUGCCAGCAGCCGCGGUAAUUC
rnacentral:rRNA from 1 species